UGUAAGCGUAUACCAAAGUUGUUGCAGUUAAAACGCUCGUAGUCGGAAUUUGGCAGUUCCGGAUGUGUGCACGUCGUGUGCGCACUUCGCGGGGAUUGCUUUUGUGGUCUUGCGUAGGAUGAGGCACUUUUAUUAGUGAACGUCCUCACGCGACCACUUUUUACUGUGAGAAAAUCAGAGUGCUCAAAGCUGGCAUUUGCCGUGAAUGUAUUAGCAUGGAAUAAUAGAAUAGGACUUGGUUCUAUUUUGUUGGUUUGUUGGGACUGAGUAAUGAUUAAGAGGGACAGUUGGGGGCAUUUGUAUUUCGGUGCUAGAGGUGAAAUUCUUAGAUUACCGAAAGACAAACUGCUGCGAAAGCGUCUGCCAAGGAUGUUUUCAUUGA
rnacentral:rRNA from 1 species